rnacentral:rRNA from 1 species
AUUGAACGCUGGCGGCAGGCCUAACACAUGCAAGUCGAACGGUAGCACAGAGAGCUUGCUCUUGGGUGACGAGUGGCGGACGGGUGAGUAAUGUCUGGGAAACUGCCCGAUGGAGGGGGAUAACUACUGGAAACGGUAGCUAAUACCGCAUAACGUCUUCGGACCAAAGUGGGGGACCUUCGGGCCUCACACCAUCGGAUGUGCCCAGAUGGGAUUAGCUAGUAGGUGGGGUAAUGGCUCACCUAGGCGACGAUCCCUAGCUGGUCUGAGAGGAUGAACAGCCACACUGGAACUGAGACACGGUCCAGACUCCUACGGGAGGCAGCAGUGGGGAAUAUUGCACAAUGGGCGCAAGCCUGAUGCAGCCAUGCCGCGUGUAUGAAGAAGGCCUUCGGGUUGUAAAGUACUUUCAGCGGGGAGGAAGGCGAUGGAGUUAAUAGCUUCAUCGAUUGACGUUACCCGCAGAAGAAGCACCGGCUAACUCCGUGCCAGCCGCCGCCGUAA